rnacentral:lncRNA from 1 species
AAAAAUAUAUAAAUUCAUUUCAAUUAAGUAAUGAAUUUGAUCGGGAAGAUAUCUUUUUUGUUAUUCUAUAUUAAUCGUAAAAAAAAUAGCUGCUGCAUCGUUACACUCGGCAGCGUCACGGGUACUCUCUUCACACGUGGCAAUGGAUUUAACAUGCCAUUCUAUUCAGACGUGGAUGCAUACCUGCACAUCAUUAGGACACCCCACGUCGGUAAUGGUUUUACUGUCGGCUGAUAGACAAUAUUUCUAUUUCCCAGUCACCCUUAGGGGGAAGGAGACAGACCAAAAUAAGUUCCAAACUAAAAGACAAAUUGAAAGAGUUUGUAUUGCUUUGUUUCAUAAAAAAGAAUGCC